rnacentral:rRNA from 1 species
UACGGGGGGGGCAGGCGCUGUUCGGAAUUACUGGGCGUAAAGGGCUCGUAGGUGGCCAACUAAGUCAGACGUGAAAUCCCUCGGCUUAACCGGGGAACUGCGUCUGAUACUGGAUGGCUAGAGAUUGGGAGAGGGAUGCGGAAUUCCAGGUGUAGCGGUGAAAUGCGUAGAGAUCGGGAAGAACAUCAGUGGCGAAGGCGGCCUGCUGGGCUGUUGCUGACGCUGAGGCGCGACAGCGUGGGGAGCAAACAGG